UACGUAGGUGGCGAGCGUUGUCCGGAUUUACUGGGCGUAAAGGGAGCGUAGGCGGACUUUUAAGUGAGAUGUGAAAUACUCGGGCUCAACUUGAGUGCUGCAUUUCAAACUGGAAGUCUAGAGUGCAGGAGAGGAGAAUGGAAUUCCUAGUGUAGCGGUGAAAUGCGUAGAGAUUAGGAAGAACCCCAGUGGCGAAGGCGAUUCUCUGGACUGUAACUGACGCUGAGGCUCGAAAGCGUGGGGAGCAAACAGG
rnacentral:rRNA from 1 species